GGGAAGGGGCGGCGUGCUAUACAUGCAGUCGAGCGCAGGAAUCAUCCGAACCCUUCGGGGGGACGUUGAUGGAAUGAGCGGCGGACGGGUGAGUAACACGUAAAGAACCUGCCCUCAGGUCUGGGAUAACCACGAGAAAUCGGGGCUAAUACCGGAUGGGUCAUCGGACCGCAUGGUCCGAGGAUGAAAGGCGCUUCGGCGUCGCCUGGGGAUGGCUUUGCGGUGCAUUAGCUAGUUGGUGGGGUAAUGGCCCACCAAGGCGACGAUGCAUAGCCGACCUGAGAGGGUGAUCGGCCACACUGGGACUGAGACACGGCCCAGACUCCUACGGGAGGCAGCAGUAGGGAAUCUUCCACAAUGGACGAAAGUCUGAUGGAGCAACGCCGCGUGAACGAUGAAGGCCUUCGGGUCGUAAAGUUCUGUUGUAAGGGAAGAACAAGUGCCGCAGGCAAUGGCGGCACCUUGACGGUACCUUGCGAGAAAGCCACGGCUAACUACGUGCCAGCAGCCGCGGUAAUACGUAGGUGGCAAGCGUUGUCCGGAAUUAUUGGGCGUAAAGCGCGCGCAGGCGGCCUCUUAAGUCUGAUGUGAAAGCCCCCGGCUCAACCGGGGAGGGCCAUUGGAAAACUGGGAGGCUUGAGUAUAGGAGAAGAAGAGUGGAAUUCCACGUGUAGCGGUGAAAUGCGUAGAGAUGUGGAGGACACCAGUGGCGAAGGCGACUCUUUUGGCCCUAUACUGACGCUGAGCGCGAAGCGGUGGGGGAGCAAACAGGAUUAGAUACCCUGGUAGUCCACGCCGUAAACGAUGAGUGCUAGUGUUUGGGAGGGUUUCCCGCCCUUCAAUGCUGAGCUACGCAUUGAGCACUCCCGCCUGGGGGGAGGUACGGGUUCGCAGCUGAAUCCUCAAGGGACUGAACGGACCCGUCACAAGCGGUGAUCCAUGGUGAUUAUUCAGCAACGCGAGAGCCUACCAGCUCUGGACAUCCCCUGACCGUACGAAUGUACCGUCCAUUUCGGCAUGUGUGACGGUGUGCCAUGCUUGUGCA
rnacentral:rRNA from 1 species